GUGCUAAAACUUCAGAAAUAUUUUUAAAGGCGAUCAUUGGUGGUAAAGUAAGGCUCCAGAGAACCCAGAGAUGAUAUUGGAGAACUUCUCUUUGGAUCCUGCAUGGAACUAUAGCG
rnacentral:snoRNA from 1 species